UUGGUUAAGUUAGAAAGGGCGCACGGUGGAUGCCUUGGCACUAGGAGCCGAAGAAGGACGGGACUAACACCGAUAUGCUUUGGGGAGCUGUACGUAAGCGUUGAUCCAGAGAUUUCCGAAUGGGGGAACCCACUAUCUUUAGUCGGAUAGUAUCCUUACGUGAAUACAUAGCGUGAGGAAGGCAGACCCAGGGAACUGAAACAUCUAAGUACCUGGAGGAAGAGAAAGAAAAAUCGAUUUCCUGAGUAGCGGCGAGCGAAACGGAAAGAGCCCAAACCAAGAAGCUUGCUUCUUGGGGUUGUAGGACACUCUAUACGGAGUUACAAAAGAAAGUUAUAAAUGAAGCGGUCUGGAAAGGCCCGCCAAAGACGGUAACAGCCCGGUAGUUGAAAUGGCUUUCCCUCCAGAGUGGAUCCUGAGUACGGCGGAACACGUGAAAUUCCGUCGGAAUCCGGGAGGACCAUCUCCCAAGGCUAAAUACUCCCUAGUGACCGAUAGUGAACCAGUACCGUGAGGGAAAGGUGAAAAGCACCCCGGAAGGGGAGUGAAACAGUUCCUGAAACCGUGUGCCUACAAGUAGUUAGAGCCCGUUAAUGGGUGAUAGCGUGCCUUUUGUAGAAUGAACCGGCGAGUUACGAUUUGUUGCAAGGUUAAGCGGAAAAAGCGGAGCCGUAGCGAAAGCGAGUCUGAAUAGGGCGCAUAAGUAACAGGUCGUAGACCCGAAACCAGGUGAUCUACCCAUGUCCAGGAUGAAGGUAAGGUA
rnacentral:rRNA from 1 species